CCUACGGGAGGCAGCAGUGAGGAAUAUUGGACAAUGGACGCAAGGCUGAACCAGCCAUGCCGCGUGCAGGAAGACGGCUCUAUGAGUUGUAAACUGCUUUUGUACGAGGGUAAACGCAGAUACGCGUAUCUGUCUGAAAGUAUCGUACGAAUAAGGAUCGGCUAACUCCGUGCCAGCAGCCGCGGUAAUACGGAGGAUGCAAGCGUUAUCCGGAUUUAUGGGGUUUAAAGGGUGCGUAGGCGGGCGGAUAAGUUAGAGGUGAAAUCCCGGGGCUCAACUUCGGAAUUGCCUCUGAUACUGUUCGGCUAGAGAGUAGUGGCGGUAGGCGGAAUGUAUGGUGUAGCGGUGAAAUGCUUAGAUAUCAUACAGAACACCGAUUGCGAAGGCAGCUUACCAAGCUACUUCUGACGUUGAGGCACGAAAGCGUGGGGAGCAAACAGGAUUAGAUACCCCAGUAGUC
rnacentral:rRNA from 1 species